rnacentral:rRNA from 1 species
AUAUAACUAGGCGGAGGAAAAGAAACUAACCAGGAUUACCUCAGUAACGGCGAGUGAAGCGGUAAAAGCUCAAAUUUAAAAUCUGGCGGUCCCCGGCUGUCCGAGUUGUAAUCUAGAGAAGUGUUAUCCGCGCUGGACCGUGUACAAGUCUCCUGGAAUGGAGCGUCAUAGAGGGUGAGAAUCCCGUCUUUGACACAGACUGCCAGGGCUUUGUGAUGCGCUCUCAAAGAGUCGAGUUGUUUGGGAAUGCAGCUCAAAAUGGGUGGUAAAUUCCAUCUAAAGCUAAAUAUUGGCGAGAGACCGAUAGCGCACAAGUA